GUCUACAGCCAUACCACCUUGAACACACCCAAACUUAUCUGAUCUUGGGUAGAUAAGCAGGGUCCUGGCCUGGUUAGUACUUGCAUGAGAGAUGAUCUCCAGAAGAAUGUCAGAGAUGGAUGCC
rnacentral:rRNA from 1 species